GUGCUAUAGCCUCAACUUCAACUUCAUUUUCACUAAGCCUUAAGAAAAAGUUACAACAAGAGCACAUUUUUUCAGCUGGAAUUUUCUCAUUCAAACCUUCAAAAAAACCAAAAUUUUGUGACCAAAAACAUAGUACUACUCAAAACCUUAAAAAACAACUUAGUCAUGUGAAAAAUUUGGAACAAUCAAAAUUUUCAAACAAAAAGAAAGUACCUCAUGAGAUUAAAGAUUUCUUCUUUUUUCCUCCAAAUCCAUUUUUUCCACCACCUAUUAUCCCUAAUCCAUUUCAACCUCCAUUGAUUCCUAAUCCAUUUACACCUCCACCAUUGAUUCCUAACCCUUUAAACCCUCCACCUUUGAUUCCUAAUCCAUUUCAACCACCAAGUCCACCAUUGAUUCCUAACCCUUUUCAACCACCAAGUCCACCACCUUUGAUUCCUAAUCCAUUUCAACCACCAAGUCCACCACCACUUAUUCCAAAUCCAUUUCAACCUCCUCCAUCAAGUCCACCACCACUCAUUCCAAAUCCAUUUCAACCACCACCAUCAAGUCCACCACCAUUUUUUCCUUUUCCACCAGUAGUAAUACCAGGAUUAACUCCAUCACCACCGCCGCCGCCACCACCAAAAUCAAUUUUCCCCUUUCCUCUUCCUCCACUAUUCCCACCUCCUCAUAGCCCUGGCUCACCCCCUACUUCUUUAAGUCCUUGAUUAUAAACAUAUUAUAUAAUUAUAGUUUUAAAUUGCGAUCUACGACUACAAUAUAACAGUUUUAGAGGUCUCUACAAAAACAUUCGAUAUUCGAAUGACAAUUGUUGUUGCAUUUGCAUGCAAUAUAAAGGUUAAUAGUGCAACUGCGACUGCAAUUUAAAACUAUGAUGGUAUUAAUGUUUAAUUCAUUUUGUUUUAUUAUGGUAUAGUAUAGUUAGCUAAAUAUGGGAAUGAGUAUGUCACAUAUGUAGUGACUUAUGCACAAAAAGAAGUUGAUACAUUAUUGAUCGAUAUGAUUGUAAUUAGUAAUAUAGAUAUAAGAAUAUUAUAUCUUAGAGCUUAUAUUGUAAUUUUUUGAGUGUGUAAUUUUUACCCUUGAAUUGCUCUAUAAAUGGACUAUUAUGAUUUUGAUAUGAAUAUAUAUUUAAAUGUUUGAACACAAGUUGCUGAAGAUUAUAUGUCUAAAUAAGGUUAAUGAGAAAGACCAAAUUCAGAAAUGUAUGGAAGUGUGAGAAUUUUAAAGCAUAAUUCAAAUGUUUAUUUUAUUUAGUAAGGAAUGAUAAAUUUCUGUUGUGCAAUGAUAGUAUACUAUAUAUGCAUCUAUGUGAAUAAUGGUGUUAGUUGAUUAUUGACAAAACUUUACUAAAUUUUAUAUAUUUAAAGUGUUUUGAAAAAAUUGGACAUCUUUAGAAGUUGAGCUAAACAUAUUAUUUGAACCACAAAAGUAGUAAAAAAAAAAAACUGUCUAAUAAAAGGAAAACUUCAUGAUAAUAUGUUACUUAGAAAUUACUAUAAAUUAGGAUCAUAAUUUGUUAGCAAUGUUGUUCUAAACUUUAAGGAUGCACAACUUUAAGUCAAGCCCUAAAACCAGUCUAUUUAACAAUGAUGUACAAGUUAUAACUUGAAGAGAAAAAUGAACUACAACAAAAUGAAUUUCCUAUAUUGUUGGCGGAUGCUAUGGUGGGCAAGUUAAGCAAACUGUCCACCGUGUGCGAGUUUUGUGAACCGUCAGAUGAGUAAUAUUUGAGAAUUGACGGAUUUAAGAUGUACCGCCAAUACCUUGCGCAUACUCUUUAAAUCAUUGCCAAGCUUGGGAUGUAUGGCUCACCAAAUAGGUGUGAGACUAUACUCUUUAGGAGUAACAAAAAUACAUUGAUUAGAAUUUAUCCUUUACCUCAAACUUAUAUUGACUUGUAUCGUCAGUUAUCAUUAACGCUCAGAUUCCAACUUCCAACUCGGAGCAUACUUCCACGGAUUACCCCAUUAAGUUAGAAACCAGUUGGGCAUAUUCCAAAUGGUUACAUUUGCUGUUAUUAUUUGUGAGCAAUUUAAUGGCUUAAAGUAAACCAUAAUAGCUUAUCAUCAAUUUCCCACAGUCAAGCUACAUAAUUGCCACGUUCUGUUUAAGUAUUAUCGACAUCAUCGGUUCAGGUUCAUACAAACAAAUGACUUCAAACAUGCUAGACCAUGUCAAAGUAACACAUCUUUUUAUAAUAACAACUUUUGCUUCAAUUUUGUGUAUUUUAUUUUGGUGCAAGGGAUUGUGUACACAAUCACUUCUAAAGAUUGAGGAGUCAUGUGUUCAAUGGGUUUACAUCAACUAUACAACCAAGUGAAAACUACUCGUACAAUUUUAGUUGAUUACGACUUAAAUUGAUAAAGAGAAAACAAUUUCACAAUUAUUGUGAGUUCGACACAAACUGAGGCCUCCAUUUUAAAAUUAUGUAAGGAUUAAACUUAAAAGGAUCCAUUUUAGAGGACCAAAAAUAUAUUUAACCCUACAUUAACUACAAAAAGAGACAUUAGUAUUAAUCUAUGAUGCAUGAGUACUCCAUUUUAGACAGAGUAUCGGUAUCGGUACGCGUACGGUACUCCCUCAGUACGCACACUCAGAGUACCUUCUUUUUUUUUUAGGCGGAUACGCGCGUGAUACUCUCGAGGUACGCAUGUAAUUCUCUCGGGGUAGGCGUGUGGUACGGAUUUCAUCAAAAAUUGUUCUCAUUCUUCUGCUUCUUUUUUUUUGCAACAAUUUUCAAUCCCAUUCUUUUUUUAUUUGUUUAUAUUUUAAUAAAGAUUCACUUUAGUUUAAAAUUAGAACCGAUUUAGUUUCCUUCCCUUUUUAAUUCUUUUUAAAAGCAGAGCCGCAUACUACAACUACUCCUAAUUUCCUAAAGUGUAAACCACAAUAUAACUACUUUCUAUGUUUCCUAUUUUAGAGCCUAUUUUUUGGCAUUUGUAAGCGGGGUUUGAGCUAUUUUUUGGUAUACGUCCACCAGAAAUGGUGGCUAUGGAGGUCAGGUUAAACAUGGUUUCUCGAGAAGGUGGUGCUCCUCCUUUCUAUUUUUGAAAAGAAAAGAUGCUUUCUUUGGAAGAAAUGGGUUAGAUUCUGAUUUUUCUAAGUAAAUCAGCUCACAGACGGCGCAACUGAACUGGUUGUUCAGAAAUUAUUUGUCUUAGCUCUUCGUGAUUCAGCUGAAGUGAACACGAACGGUGUUGUUGAGAUGUUGGUGGAGUGAAUUCUUUGGUCUUUGUAGGGGANNNNNNNNNNNNNNNNNNNNNNNNNNNNNNNNNNNNNNNNNNNNNNNNNNNNNNUAAGGGAAAAGGUACUUGCAAGAUUGUUAGCACUAUGACGCUCAAGUCAGUAUUUGAAUGAGGUGAUAAAGAGUGAGUAAAUGGAGGCGCGAAUCUUUUCAUACCUAGGGACAUUGAUGUAUGAAUGCUUAUAUAUAGGAGAGUAUUAUGAUUUUACAGUAUAGUGGGACCCCCCAUGUGCAGAGGAUCGGCCACAUAUAACAUCUGGAUUGUCCUUUGCAAUGGAGCACGUUAGGACGUUGUGGGCGUUGGCCUCUGUCCGUGCUCGUUGCUUUGGUUCUGUGGUCACUAUGCCACAUGAUUAUUCUUAUCCCAUUAUGAUGUGUUGGGCUUUUAGCCGAUCCGGAACAUUUUUUUACAAGGAUAAUUGUAUCAUUUAAAUAUGAUUUAUCGUAUUAUUAUGAGGUAUGCAUAAAAACAUGAUACGAUAGUUAUCGUAUUUGUUAUCUUGUGUGCACCAAACACAUGACAGGAUAACUGUUAUUCUCCUUAUAUUAUAUCUUAUCAUUAUGCUAAUUUUUAUUUUAUCGUAUCAUUAUCAUAUCCUGCGCACCAAACGGACCCUUAAUAUAAAUAUGUGAUUUGGUUGGUUAUAUAUGAAGUAUGUUUAUGGAUUAUUUCUGUGUUUAAUGAUUUUCCGAUGUUAAACUCUAAAAUUGAUCUUUUGAUUUAUAAAGUGUUUGAGAAACACUUUCCAUUUAAAUGAAAUGGACCAAAUUCAUAUGCAAAACAAACAAUUUCCUUCUUACAAGCUUAAAACAACUAAAAAUUUGUGAAGGGAUAAAACUAAUAUACUUACCGUUGCACUAAGGAUAGGCUCAAUCCCCGUUUGUCAUUCACCCAACCCAAUUCAUCAAUUUUAAAAUGGGCGAAAAAAUCAAUAAAAAUAGAUGUUGAACAAAAAACCGGCCCAACUCACCGAUUAAAAACAAACAAUAAUAAUAAUAAUAAUAAUAAUAAUAAUAAUAAUAAUAAUAAUAAUAAUAAUAAUAAUAAUAAAGUGUGGUCUUGCUCACAUCAACUUAGUCAACACAAUUAAUAGUAAAAAAAGUCAUCAUCAAUAAAUUCUAGUCAACCGCUCAUAUUUAUAAUAUCAACGAGCAUAAUAGAAUUGGUAAAAAUUUCUUGACAAAAAAAAAUUGGUCUAAGUUGGAUCAAAAAAGUUUUGGUCAAAAAGAAAGUUGGGCCAAAAGUUUAAAGUUACAAAUUAGAAAAACUAUAUAUAGACCCUCACAUUUACUUAGAAGCAUAACUCAAUUUUGCAUUUUCUUUCUGAAAUAUCAAAUCUCAUCAGAAUGUAUUGGUUCCUUACAAUUUUGUUUCUCAGUCUCACAUCCGGUAUUAAUCUUUCAGAAGCCAACCAUGACAAUAAGAAUGUUUUAUCUCAUGAGAUUAAUAAAGAUUUCUUUUUUCCACCACCUAUUAUACCUAAUCCAUUUCAACCUCCACCUUUGAUUCCUAACCCUUUUCAACCACC
rnacentral:lncRNA from 1 species